AAUUCGUUUCUGCAGGUAUAA
rnacentral:miRNA from 16 species